AUUGAACGCUGGCGGCAGGCCUAAUACAUGCAAGUCGAACGAGUGGCGGACGGGUGAGUAAUGUCUGGGAAACUGCCUGAUGGAGGGGGAUAACUACUGGAAACGGUAGCUAAUACCGCAUACCAUCGGAUGUGCCCAGAUUGGAUUAGCUAGUAGGUGGGGUAAAGGGUCACCUAGGCGACGAUCCCUAGCUGGUCUGAGAGGCUGACCAGCCACACUGGAACUGAGACACGGUCCAGACUCCUACGGGAGGCAGCAGUGGGGAAUAUUGCGCAAUGGGCGCAAGCCUGAUUCAGCCAUGCCGCGUGUAUGAAGAAGGCCUUCGGGUUGUAAAGUACUUUCAGCAGGGAGGCGUUACCCACAGAAGAAGCACCGGCUAACUCCGUGCCAGCAGCCGCGGUAAUUC
rnacentral:rRNA from 1 species